AGCGCAUCGAUUUCGCUAUCCGAUAUCUAAGCACAGGGAAUAAGUCAGGUCUUUAGCCCGGGCAGCAACGAGAAACAGUUACUGAACCUUCACCGGCUACCAUGGCAGCGGCAACCAACACAAGCAGGUCGAACAGGAGAGAAGUGACGAAUGAGGAGAUCACCAGGUUAUCCAAACUAUUUACCUGAUGGGAAAUAUAACGAGCUGUGCGAAAACUUGGGAUUCGGCUACGACUACGUACAGAAUAUAAAGAAGAAACGUUUCAUGGACCCCACGGCUGCUUUCAAAGAAAUAUUGCAAGAAUGGAAAAACAAGGGUGGAUUCAUGGAGGAUCUUGAUGCAGCUUUAAUAAAAGUAGAAAUUGGAGGACUUGUAUCCAAGUACAAGAACUAGUCCUGGAAAUGAGGAUGUAGGAUACCUGCCACUGCAACCAAAUUAAUUACCCCUGUCAAUUCUGUACACUAACCGACUAAUGAGCAAAGGGUUGUACGUCACUCGCUCGUGCGACAAAUGCUCUGCAUAACAUUUCAAGACUAACUGCACUCUGAACUUCAACCUUGGACCAUGAAAUAUGUCUAACCUCAACCCUAAAUCUAACCCCAAACCCGAAUAGUAGUCUUAACCAUUUAUAUUUACCUUUUGUGAAUUAACCCAUUGCUUACUGGAACCUGGUGGUCCAUGUGUAAAGCAUUAUGGGAAUAAGAUAACUCCGUAGUAAACAGGUUAAAGCCUGUAGCAAUGAUCGCAGGAGCACGUGUCGGGAGAUCGGCUAGAAAUCGACCAUAAGCCACCACAACUGUAUUUGCUUUACGUUAUCAUAGGAGUAAUUACUCCUUUUCCAUAUCAACUUUAAUUAGUCUUAGUCCAUAUUCUUUCACUUGUGUUACAAAGAUAUAAAAUUGUAAACGCUUAUGCAUUCAAUUGGCAAGCCUUAUUUGUACAAUGUCUUAUACAUUUACACCUUUUUAUAUUUAA